UACGUAGGGACCGAGCGUUGUCCGGAAUCAUUGGGCGUAAAGAGCGUGUAGGCGGCCAACUAAGUCCUGCGUGAAAUCUCGGGGCUCAACCCCGAGCGGUCGUGGGAAACUGGUCGGCUUGAGUACAGACGAGGGUGGCGGAAUGGAUGCUGUAGCGGUGAAAUGCAUAGAUAGCAUCCAGAACCCCGAUUGCGAAGGCAGCUGCCUAGACUGUAACUGACGCUGAGGCACGAAAGCGUGGGGAGCGAACAGG
rnacentral:rRNA from 1 species